rnacentral:rRNA from 1 species
GACGAACGCUGGCGGCGUGCUUAACACAUGCAAGUCGAGCGGAGCGGCGUACGGGUGAGUAACGCGUGAGUAAUUGCCCCCCUCCCUGGGAUAACAGUUGGAAACGGCUGCUAAUACCGGAUAGUGGGGGAUGACUCACGUCCUAUCAGCUUGUUGGUGGGGGAGUGGCCUACCGAGCCGACGACGGGUAGCCGGCCUGAGAGGGCGACCGGCCACAUAGUGCUGAGGUACGGCCCAAAGUCCUACGGGGGGCAGCAGUGGGGAAUAGUGCCCAAUGGGGGAGAGCCUGAUGCGGCGCCGCCGGGUUCGGGAUGACGGCCUUCUGGUUGGAAACCGCUUUCAGCCAUGACGCGGUAGUGGCAGAAGAAGCACCGGCUAACUACGUGCCAGCCGCCGCGGUAAUUC